GUCUCAAAGAUUAAGCCAUGCAUGUCUAAGUAUAAGCACUUGUACUGUGAAACUGCGAAUGGCUCAUUAAAUCAGUUAUCGUUUAUUUGAUUGUACUUUUUACUACAUGGAUACCUGUGGUAAUUCUAGAGCUAAUACAUGCGAAAAAUCCCGACUUCUGGAAGGGAUGUAUUUAUUAGAUUAAAAACCAAUGCGGAUCCUCGUGGUCCGUCUACUUGGUGAUUCAUGAUAACUUUUCGAAUCGCAUGGCCUAGCGCCGGCGAUGUUUCAUUCAAAUUUCUGCCCUAUCAACUGUCGAUGGUAAGGUAGUGGCUUACCAUGGUUGUAACGGGUGACGGAGAAUUAGGGUUCGAUUCCGGAGAGGGAGCCUGAGAAACGGCUACCACAUCUAAGGAAGGCAGCAGGCACGAAAAUUACCCAAUCCCGAUUCGGGGAGGUAGUGACAAGAAAUAACGAUACGGGGUCUUAAUAGGUCUCGCAAUUGGAAUGAGUACAAUUUAAAUCCUUUAACGAGGAUCAAUUGGAGGGCAAGUCUGGUG
rnacentral:rRNA from 1 species